UACAGAGGUGGCAAGCGUUGUUCGGAAUUACUGGGCGUAAAGGGCGUGUAGGCGGGAAGGAAAGUCAGAUGUGAAAUCCCCAGGCUCAACCUGGGAACUGCAUUUGAAACUCCCUUUCUUGAGUACCGGAGAGGAAAGUGGAAUUCCUGGUGCAGAGGUGAAAUUCGUAGAUAUCAGGAGGAACACCAGUGGCGAAGGCGGCUUUCUGGACGGUAACUGACGCUGAGGCGCGAAAGCGUGGGGAGCAAACAGG
rnacentral:rRNA from 1 species